rnacentral:sRNA from 1 species
UUGAUCUGCCCAUGGCGGGCGUUUCCUCCCUUCGACUUCAAGGCCCUGCCCGAUCCCGGGCGGGGCCUUUUUCUUGCCGGC